GACGAACGCUGGCGGCGUGCUUUAGGCAUACAAGUCGAACGCGAAAGCCCCUUCGGGGGUGAGUCGAGUGGCGAACGGGUGAGUAACACGUGGGUAACCUGCCCCUCGCAGGGGGAUAACCGGGGGAAACCCCGGCUAAUACCCCGUACGCUUGCUGGGGCGCAUGCUCCGGCAAGGAAAGGUAGCUUCGGCCAUCCGGCGAGGGAGGGGCCCGCGGCCCAUUAGCUAGUUGGUGGGGUAACGGCCCACCAAGGCGACGAUGGGUAGCUGGCCUGAGAGGGUGGUCAGCCACACUGGGACUGGGACGCGGCCCAAACUCCUACGGGAGGCAGCAGCCAGGAAUCUUGCGCAAGGGGCGAAAGCCUGACGCAGCAACGCGGCGUGGGCGAUGAAGGCCCUCGGGUCGUAAAGGCCUGUUGUCGGGGACGAAGGGCGAAGGGUUAAUAGCCCCUAGCCUGACGGUACCCGACGAGGAAGCCCCGGCUAACUACGUG
rnacentral:rRNA from 1 species